rnacentral:rRNA from 1 species
CUUCUAGAUGUUCUGGGCCGCACGCGCGCUACACUGAACAGUUCAACAAGUCUUAACCUUGGCCGAUAGGUCUGGGUAAUCUUUGAACGCUGUUCGUGAUUGGGAUAGACCUUUGCAAUUAUGGGUCUUCAACGAGGAAUUCCUAGUAAACGCAAGUCAUCAGCUUGCAUUGAUUACGUCCCUGCCCUUUGUACACACCGCCCGUCGCACCUACCGAUUGAAUGGUCCGGUGAAAUCUCGGGACGGCGGCUUGGUCGCUUGCGUCCGACUGCUGAAACUUGAUUAAACCAUAUCAUUUAGAGGAAGGUGAAGUCGUANCA